CGAAGAAAAUUUAACCGAACAUUUCUCUCAUCAGAUACGCUAUUUCGAAUCUCUUACAAGUGGAUAUUUGGUUAGCUUCACAGCACUAAGUGGAACAGGCGACGAAAUUCUACCAGGAUACUGCUAGUCGCCGCAAAAACAAAACACGCACGAAGGAAAUUUGGAUGCAAACGUUGCGCCAAUUUAGGACCAAUGUGCCCACACAACUACGCAAAACUGGGUAUGCCACGAAUAUCGGUCGUGCAACAGAGCUCUCUGGGGGAGGUAAGGGGCGAUGUAAAUGGAUAAUUCCAAUUAGGCGCAAAUGCAUCACCCUUGGAAAUUCCCUCACCGUUCGCACUCUAAAGUGAAACUCGGCGUAAGUGCCUAUGUAAGUAUGGACAUGAUUUAUAAAUACAAAAAAAACUAAAUUUAACGACA